UGGAAUCUGCUCCUUGGGGCCCACUGUUUGUGGAAUGGAGUCCUUGCUGUGUCUACCCAACCCUACUCCACUCACCUCUCUCCUAUGUCAACUUACUGCCCUCAUCCCUGGCCUCCACUCAUUCUCUUCCUACCCUUUGCCCCUGCUGUUCUCUCUGAACAAAGUUCAGCUCCCUCGUUCCCUGGGUGCUCUAGGGUUAGGGACAAGUUCUUAUUUGCUUACAUGUUCCUCCCACAAGGCCUGGGAGGCCAGCUCUGCAUUUCCUAGCUUGCAGCAGCAUCCCCUGACAUUCCCUGGAAAAAUAUUUGUGAAGCAUCCAUCUGUAGUGUGUGGGAUCCAGAUGAGAGCUGGGUCUUAGUGAGAGGAAUGAGAGGCUUAGAGGUUCCCUCCCUGCAUAACCACCUUGGAAAGUCAGAUGCGGCUCCCCAUUUUGCAGGGGAAAAAUCUGUGAUUGACCUGGCUGAGACCUUCGCCCCAUACGGUCUUUGGUGGCUCAGAUGAACCAAUCCCAGUGCCUUCUAACAGUUGGAGAGUAAGAAGGAUCCUGGAGCGGGGGAACUUCUGACAGCUCCUGCUCAUCCCCGGAGAAGACAGAAGCCCAUCACCUGGUACACUUCAGAGGAACACGCACCUGACAGCCAAGGAGAACUGGGCAGUAGUCCUCGGAUGUUGGGCGUCAUUUUCCGUGGGCAGUUGGGAGUCACUGUGCUUCUCCCACAAAAACUCUUCUCACAGUCCAACUUGUAUACAAACCCAUCAGACUGCUAGCCCCAGGGCAGGUACCUACCUAUCUUCCUGUCCCAGUACUGAGGGGCUCAAUAACUAUUGUUAACCUGAAGACACCGAAAACCUUGACAGCGCUGAGCUUGUUACAGCACCAUCUUGCUGUGUGUCCAUGUGCAGGUGCAACUGUACGUGAGAUCAGCGGCCAACCACCACCCUUUCCCAGGCCACACUCCAUCAGCAAGAGACUAUGCUACACCCCAAGACGAGAUGCAGCCAAUAAACAUGUCUAUGUAUUGACCUGAAAAA
rnacentral:lncRNA from 1 species